AUGCUUGCAUUAGCAGCAUAUAUAAUAAAAUUUGAAUGAUACAGGAAAAAUUAGUAUGAUCCAAGAACAAAGAUGACAUGCAAAUUCAUGAGGUAUUCAAUACUUUU
ensembl:snRNA U6 U6 spliceosomal RNA